GUGGAACAUCCCAUUUGGCUUCAUCAGGAAGAGGAUUAACUGGCAAUUCAUAUGUAAGAAGAAGGCUCUUCGUUGUGUAAUACGGUGAACAAUAGUUGUCCGGCCUUUCAUUCCUAUGCCUUAAUGCUGCCAAAGCAUGUGCACAUGGAAGUUCAUCAAGUUGGAAUUUUCCACAGCAACAUUUCUUGUUUUCUAAACAUACAAUGUACUGCUUCACACCAUCUAACACAGUGUGUUAUGAUCUGUUGAAGCCCUCACCUA
rnacentral:lncRNA from 1 species